GACGAACGCUGGCGGCGUGCCUAAUACAUGCAAGUUGAGCGAUGAAGAUUGGUGCUUGCACCAAUUUGAAGAGCAGCGAACGGGUGAGUAACGCGUGGGGAAUCUGCCUUUGAGCGGGGGACAACAUUUGGAAACGAAUGCUAAUACCGCAUAACAACUUUAAACAUAAGUUUUAAGUUUGAUAGAUGCACUUGCAUUACUCAAAGAUGAUCCCGCGUUGUAUUAGCUAGUUGGUGAGGUAAAGGCUCACCAAGGCGAUGAUACAUAGCCGACCUGAGAGGGUGAUCGGCCACAUUGGGACUGAGACACGGCCCAAACUCCUACGGGAGGCAGCAGUAGGGAAUCUUCGGCAAUGGACGAAAGUCUGACCGAGCAACGCCGCGUGAGUGAAGAAGGUUUUCGGAUCGUAAAACUCUGUUGGUAGAGAAGAACGUUGGUGAGAGUGGAAAGCUCAUCAAGUGACGGUAACUACCCAGAAAGGGACGGCUAACUACGUG
rnacentral:rRNA from 1 species